rnacentral:rRNA from 1 species
AUCGGGGCAGGGUGAGUCGACCCCUAAGGCGAGGCCGAAAGGCGUAGUCGAUGGGAAACAGGUUAAUAUUCCUGUACUUGGUGUUACUGCGAAGGGGGGACGGAGAAGGCUAUGUUGGCCGGGCGACGGUUGUCCCGGUUUAAGCGUGUAGGCUGGUUUUCCAGGCAAAUCCGGAAAAUCAAGGCUGAGGCGUGAUGACGAGGCACUACGGUGCUGAAGCAACAAAUGCCCUGCUUCCAGGAAAAGCCUCUAAGCAUCAGGUAACAUCAAAUCGUACCCCAAACCGACACAGGUGGUCAGGUAGAGAAUACCAAGGCGCUUGAGAGAACUCGGGUGAAGGAACUAGGCAAAAUGGUGCCGUAACUUCGGGAGAAGG